UACGGAGGGUGCGAGCGUUGUUCGGAAUUACUGGGCGUAAAGGGCGCGUAGGCGGCCUGUUAAGUCGAACGUGAAAUCCCCGGGCUCAACCCGGGAACUGCGUCCGAUACUGGCAGGCUUGAAUUCGGGAGAGGGAUGCGGAAUUCCAGGUGUAGCGGUGAAAUGCGUAGAUAUCGGGAGGAACAUCAGUGGCGAAGGCGGCCCUCUGGUCCAGUACUGACACUCAAGUGCGAAAGCGUGGGGAGCAAACAGG
rnacentral:rRNA from 1 species